UACGUAGGGUGCGAGCGUUGUCCGGAAUUAUUGGGCGUAAAGAGCUCGUAGGCGGUGUGUCGCGUCGGUCGUGAAAACUUGGGGCUUAACUCUGAGCUUGCGGUCGAUACGGGCAUCACUGGAGUUCGGCAGGGGAGACUGGAAUUCCUGGUGUAGCGGUGAAAUGCGCAGAUAUCAGGAGGAACACCGGUGGCGAAGGCGGGUCUCUGGGCCGAUACUGA
rnacentral:rRNA from 1 species